UAGUAACGGCGAGUGAAGCGGCAACAGCUCAAAUUUGAAAUCUGGCGCAAGCCCGAGUUGUAAUUUGUAGAGGAUGUUUCUGGCGACGUGCCUUCCGAGUUCCCUGGAACGGGACGCCAUAGAGGGUGAGAGCCCCGUACGGUUGGAUGCCUAGCCUCUGUGAAACUCCUUCGACGAGUCGAGUAGUUUGGGAAUGCUGCUCUAAAUGGGAGGUAUACGUCUUCUAAAGCUAAAUACCGGCCAGAGACCGAUAGCGCACAAGUAGAGUGAUCGAAAGAUGAAAAGCACUUUGAAAAGAGGGUUAAAAAGUACGUGAAAUUGUUGAAAGGGAAGCGUUCAUGACCAGACUUGGGCAGGUUGAUCAUCCGUGGUUCUCCGCGGUGCACUCUGCCUGCCCAGGCCAGCAUCAGUUCGCCCCGGGGGAUAAAGGCUCUGGGAAUGUGGCUCCUCCGGGAGUGUUAUAGCCCACUGCGUAAUACCCUGGGGUGGACUGAGGUUCGCGCUCUGCAAGGAUGCUGGCGUAAUGGUCAUCAACGACCCGUCUUGAAACACGGACCAAGGAGUCGUCUUCGUAUGCGAGUGUUCGGGUGUCAAACCCCUACGCGUAAUGAAAGUGAACGUAGGAGAGAGCUUCGGCGCAUCUCCGACCGAUCCUGAUGUUCUCGGAUGGAUUUGAGUAAGAGCAUACGGGGCCGGACCCGAAAGAAGGUGAACUAUGCCUGUAUAGGGUGAAGCCAGAGGAAACUCUGGUGGAGGCUCGCAGCGGUUCUGACGUGCAAAUCGAUCGUCAAAUAUGGGCAU
rnacentral:rRNA from 1 species